AUGACGAGCAACGCCUUGGAGUUAGUAUGCUGGAAUGUAAGAGGUCUUAACAGUCCGGCCAAGAGGAAGGCGCUUAGAGGAUUUGUGGAAUCUACCCGCGCGGCGAUUGUUUGUAUUCUAGAAACUAAAUUAGAGGUGGUGGACAUUUAUGUAAUCUUGCAAUGCAUGGGUCCGAGCUAUGAUGGUUUCACUUACCUGCCGGCUUCCGACACUAGAGGAGGCAUUGUCGUGGCUUGGGACACCACGAGGGUGCUUUUGACAAAUUUUGUCAAUGAUUCUCAUUGCGUCACUGAGUACGUUUCGCCCAAGGAGGGGACGCCAUGGUGGUUAACUGUAGUCUAUGGGCCGCAGGAGGACGAGAGCAAGAUCAACUUCCUGAAUGAGUUAUCGGAGCAUAGAUCGCUAAGCCCAGGACCUUGGCUUGUUAUUGGCGACUUCAAUCUUAUUCUACAUGCGACAGACAAGAAUAACGCCAACUUGGACCGGAGAAUGAUGGGGAAGUUCAAACGUUUUGUGGACAAUAAUGCUCUCAAGGAGAUGUUCUUGCAUGGGCGCAGAUUCACAUGGAGCAAUGAAAGAGAGACGCCCACGCUCACUAAAAUUGAUCGUGCACUUGUCUCCAUGGAUUGGGAACUAGAACACCCGGAAUGUUUGCUGCAAGCCUUAUCCACCGAGUACUCGGAUCACUGCCCGUUGCACCUCACGCUGCAUGAGCCGAGCAUGUGA
rnacentral:rRNA from 1 species